rnacentral:rRNA from 1 species
AAUGGGUCAGCGACUUAUAUUCUGUAGCAAGGUUAACCGAAUAGGGGAGCCGAAGGGAAACCGAGUCUUAACUGGGCGUUAAGUUGCAGGGUAUAGACCCGAAACCCGGUGAUCUAGCCAUGGGCAGGUUGAAGGUUGGGUAACACUAACUGGAGGACCGAACCGACUAAUGUUGAAAAAUUAGCGGAUGACUUGUGGCUGGGGGUGAAAGGCCAAUCAAACCGGGAGAUAGCUGGUUCUCCCCGAAAGCUAUUUAGGUAGCGCCUCGUGAAUUCAUCUCCGGGGGUAGAGCACUGUUUCGGCAAGGGGGUCAUCCCGACUUACCAACCCGAUGCAAACUGCGAAUACCGGAGAAUGUUAUCACGGGAGACACACGGCGGGUGCUAACGUCCGUCGUGAAGAGGGAAACAACCCAGACCGCCAGCUAAGGUCCCAAAGUCAUGGUUAAGUGGGAAACGAUGUGGGAAGGCCCAGACAGCCAGGAUGUUGGCUUAGAAGCAGCCAUCAUUUAAAGAAAGCGUAAUAGCUCACUGGUCGAGUCGGCCUGCGCGGAAGAUGUAACGGGGCUAAACCAUGCACCGAAGCUGCGGCAGCGACGCUUAUGCGUUGUUGGGUAGGGGAGCGUUCUGUAAGCCUGCGAAGGUGUACUGUGAGGU